ensembl:ncRNA F10G8.11 ncRNA
CUCACAUGACAACUUGUCUCCUCCUGCGCCACUCCUCCUUCUCUUCUUCGUCUUCCUAUUCUAAAUUCAAUCAUGUCGCCGCGUCGAGGAGUCGUCGACUUCUUCUCCCGUGUGUAGCUGUCGCCUCCUUUUUUCUAUUAUUUGAUUCGGCCCCUCCUACUUCUCUUGGAAGAGCCUCCACCUAACUCCUCCUCCUCCACCUUCUUGCAUCUUUAUUUU